CACGGGGGGAGCGAACGUUGUUCGGAAUCACUGGGCGUAAAGGGCGUGUAGGCGGUCCGGUAAGUGAGAUGUGAAAGCCCUCGGCUCACCCGAGGAACUGCAUCUCAUACUGCUGGACUUGAGUGCGGGAGAGGAUGGGGGAAUUCCUGGUGUAGCGGUGAAAUGCGUAGAUAUCAGGAGGAACACCGGUGGCGAAGGCGCCCAUCUGGCCCGUUACUGACGCUGAGGCGCGAAAGCUAGGGGAGCAAACGGG
rnacentral:rRNA from 1 species